GCUUGGUGGAUCAGUGGCGAACGGGUGAGUAACACGUGAGCAACCUGCCCUGGACUCUGGGAUAAGCGCUGGAAACGGCGUCUAAUACUGGAUAUGAGCUCUCAUCGCAUGGUGGGGGUUGGAAAGAUUUUUUGGUCUGGGAUGGGCUCGCGGCCUAUCAGCUUGUUGGUGAGGUAAUGGCUCACCAAGGCGUCGACGGGUAGCCGGCCUGAGAGGGUGACCGGCCACACUGGGACUGAGACACGGCCCAGACUCCUACGGGAGGCAGCAGUGGGGAAUAUUGCACAAUGGGCGGAAGCCUGAUGCAGCAACGCCGCGUGAGGGAUGACGGCCUUCGGGUUGUAAACCUCUUUUAGCAAGGAAGAAGCUUUUGUGACGGUACUUGCAGAAAAAGCGCCGGCUAACUACGUGCCAGCAGCCGCGGUAAUACGUAGGGCGCAAGCGUUAUCCGGAAUUAUUGGGCGUAAAGAGCUCGUAGGCGGUUUGUCGCGUCUGCUGUGAAAUCCCGAGGCUCAACCUCGGGCCUGCAGUGGGUACGGGCAGACUAGAGUGCGGUAGGGGAGAUUGGAAUUCCUGGUGUAGCGGUGGAAUG
rnacentral:rRNA from 1 species